rnacentral:rRNA from 1 species
GUCCACGCCGUAAACUAUGAGAACUAGCCGUUGGGGCCCUUGAGGUCUUAGUGGCGCAGCUAACGCGAUAAGUUCUCCGCCUGGGGAGUACGGCCGCAAGGUUAAAACUCAAAUGAAUUGACGGGGGCCCGCACAAGCGGUGGAGCAUGUUGUUUAAUUCGAUGCAACGCGAAGAACCUUACCACCCCUUGACAUCCUCAGAACUUGUCGGAGACGACUUGGUGCCUUCGGGAACUGAGUGACAGGUGCUGCAUGGCUGUCGU